CCGGGCCGGGCCGGGCCCCCGCGGCCGCUCCCAGCCGCCCGCCGCGGCGGGGCUUCUUCGGCGGGGCGGCGGCCUUAAACCCGCGCGGGCCUGCCCGGCCCCGCGGCGUGCUGCUGCCUGCCCGCCCGCGCCCCGCCGGGUCUGCGCUCCUCCUCGCCGCGAAGCUCGGGCUUCGGGGCUUUUUUUUUGUUUAUUUUUUGUUUUUUUAAAUACCCUCCCCCCCUCCCCCAGCAGACACCGUCUAACAGACGGGCUUGGCCAGGGCGUACACGUUCCGAUUUUCAUUUUCAGGCAGUGCCUUGGGAUUCACGAUGUGAAUCACGCUACUGUUUAAAAUGUAAACAGUAGUAAAAGCCGGUGUCUUUCUAAACGCUGAGGGCUUAAAUGUCGCUAAACCUGAUCAGCCAGCGCACCUGAGAUCCCCCCACACCCUGGCAGGUUCGUGUUCUGGAGGAUGACUUGCCACUGGUGGCAGCUUCCCUCAGAAAUCCCCCGCCGCGAAGCUGUGGUGUGACCCGGGGUCAGUGGAGGAAGAUUCACCUGACUGUCCGUCCCUGUGUCUGUGCGAUACCUCAGCGCCGUCCCGAUUCCGGGAUGUGCUGUAAGUUUAGGUUUUGCUAAUGAGCUUGCCUGUGUGCCCUGCACACAUUGUCUGCCUUGGCCUUUGCUUGGGGACUGACAGUUAAGGCUCGUAAUCCUGCUAUAACCUAGCCUCAGCAGGCAGUGACAAUUCCUUUAAUUGUUCUGAGAGCUUGUCGCUUCGUACUACCGCACAGGGACUGGCCGUGGAUGAAUAAAAUGAGGGAGAAAAUGAUUUUUGCUAAUCAUUCUUUUCUAUUCUGCCUUGAUGCAGCUGGCCGCAUGCUUCCCUCUGCUAGCUCAGGCACCCCACUGUGGACAUGUGAGCUACGGGAUCCAAGGCUUCGGUUUGCUGGGGGACCCGUGAUAAAACUUUCAACUUUCAGUAAGCGGCACCUCUCUGAUAGUUAUUUAAGGCCUUUGUCUGCAUUGUUGCAGAACUAUUUCCUUUUUCCUCUAGGGCAACCUAGAGUAGGAAACUGAUGGUCCCUCAGGUAGCCUGCUUCCACCUCACUUGAAGUCUUGCCUGCUUGUCGGGUUGGAGGCCAGCAGAGAACCUGCAGAAGCUGCGGGCGGGUUUCCUACUUCCUGCUGUUUGUGGAAUCAGCUGAAGAUACUCUGAGUGCAGCAGACAGCAGAGACGUGCAUUGCUGGAAUCCAGAGAGUUUCGUAACAUGGCAGCCACUUGCUGAAAGCCCUGCAGAUACAAAACAACACUUAUUUUAAGUCUUGAGAAACAUCUCCUACUAAGUAGAAGAAAAAAGCAUUUAGGUGAAGCAAUGUUGCUGGUCCCAUUUGUUUAUGAGGCUUGGUUUUUGUCUUUAUACAUUUAAAAUGCUUUUUAUUUUCAUUCUGCUUUUUGAGCCUUUCAAGUUCAUGUUUUCCAUUUUUUCCAUAUGACAAGAAAGUCUGGAAUCAAGUCCUUACUUUAAAAACAAAAAUGUGGUUCAGAGCCUUGUAUAAUCAUGUAGCUCCAGACAUGGGGUGUUUAAAAAUAAAGCCACUUCCAUGAGAA